CCACUUGUGCCAAAGCCCUUUGAUCACCCCCCCCCUUCUUAUUUUGCCAUGGCAACGCACAAAGAGGCAUCUGAAUUCAUAAGAGGCAUAAAAAUGAAUUGUGAUGAGCAGUGGAAUGUGACAAAAAAGCUGACCUUUUUCUUUUUGGUGGGAGUGAAAGGAAGAGUAUGAUGUGUCGGCACACCCCCGGCGCCCCUCCCUCCACCCUUCAAGUACUCACUGGACAAGCAGGUAUGCGAUGUGAUGUGUCUUUACAGUGCAUUGUGUUAUUUUCCCACACAGAUCUGAUGGCCAUUGUUGGAUCGGGUACUAAAGCGCUGGCGACGACGCCAAUCGCAGAACUCAUUGCCUCACAUGAUAUAUGCCUGAAGUCGGCGGAAAAGAAAACGGCCCUUCAGUGAAUUUCCUUGUUUUUCGCCCUCUGGUGGCCAUCGGAGAACGUGCAUAAGUCACCUUGACUUCCUGUGUUCAUCGACCCACAGGCAAGAUCCACUUCUUUAAACAUAUUUUAGGAUGACAGGAUGAAGCAGGAGACGGCCCAUCUGACAGCUGAUUGUGGAAUUUGAUUGGCCUGCUGGCAGUUACAACUCGUACUCCGAGCCAGUGAUUUCAAUAAUUGGUGCGGUACUUUGGUACGGCCAAGUGAAAACUCAACAUCCAAUCGCCGUCAUGGCUGAUGUCAACAGAUACUUCGGUAUACCUCAAGAGAGCAUCAAAGGCGUAUGUGUUGCAUAACCACCAGAUUGAUGAUCGUUUGCUGAAGGUCAGCUCACCUUAAUGAGGAAAAGCACAAUACAUUUAAAAAUGGUCCGAUGGAUCUUCCCAUUCCACUCCAUUCAACCCAUUAUCUACCACGAGAGUUUGGAUUAUUCAGAGCUCAGCAGAAGCGUGCCAAAAUGCAGUGUAGAUGCAAGCAAUUGAUGUAGCAAAUGGUACUGCUAGGUAGAAAACCGCUAGAUAUAAAACAGGUGGGUCAACAAUGCCGACGUGAUAUUUUGCAGUUACAGAGAGUAUACAAAGUUUGUGCAUUAGCUACUGCUAUACUUACUGUCAUUUGUUUUAAAUCCAUGUUCUACUGCAUUAGCGCAGGUUAAUGCCACGUACUGACUUCAGCCUACAUCGCCGCCCAUCGGAACGGAACUCCUUCGUAAACCAAAGACCCCCAUGUGGCUAUAAAAGCAUUGUUGUGGGAAAUGAUUAUCUUUCAAGCAAUUUGCCCCUUUUCAAACCACGAGACGUGAGCAGGUUUUGAGUGGAGUAGCGUGCUUCACAGAGGCGUACAGGUGCACUGGGCCUGGGGUGGGGUGGGGUGGGGGGGGGUAUAAAAGCAGUCAAGUAGGACCCUUCUGCCUGGCUGCCUCCAUUCUCUGGCUACAGCAGGAAUGCAGCCCGCGGAACUUGGCUCCUGUCGCCUGGCAUCUCGUCAAGCGGAUCCGCAGACAAGAAACCAAUUGUCAGAUAAAGUGGGUCAAUAGCAGCUUACCAUUACCCUCUCAUCUCGCCCACCCCGCCGACCGGUGCUGCCUCCUUUGCCGUGCUCUUUUCCCGCCACAACACUUAAAUCGGCUUGAGAUGCCAAAGUCGGUCCAAAGUGGGUAACGGAAAACUCAGUUGAUCUAAAGGUCUCAGCGUCUCAGAGAACUGAUAUUGCCGAUCCCCAUCUGGACUAAUGAAAGCAUCCUCAAGCAGAUGCAACUCAUGGAUCAGGGUCUGAGCUGGACCUCCAGCUCCUCUCUGCAUACGAACACGCUCUAACAAUCCAUUUCCAUGCCUCAAAAUGCAGCCUUCCUGCAACAAGGUGCAACGUGUACAGAAACAAAUCUUGGCCCUCCCCUGAGGUACAAAAAGAGUUAUCAUCAGAAUCUCCACAUGACGACUUAGCUCGUAAAAUUAAAUUUCCUGCAUCCUAAAUCAGGCUCGCUUGGCCUCUCUUUCACCCGGGGGUGCCUUUUAGGUGAUUACCAAGUUGUAAACCUUGCGUUAUGUUUUUGUGGGACCCCUUGCCAUGCUGUUAGACUCGAAUGGGGUGCCACACGCGUGCGCUUUCUGCUUUUAAAGCGUGAGGGCUCCAUGUUAACCUGGACAUCCAUUUGGAUUUCGGCAUCAUAAGCACAAACUCUGGUAGUCGAGCUAUUUUUAAUAAUAUUUGCAUGCAGCUCGCCUGCUAUAAUGUGUUGACGUAGGAAAGGAUGGUGGUUAGUCUGAGCUCUAUUAAACCAGCUUGUGUUUUUAAUGAACCACAUCCUCUACUCGGGCUGUCUCCAUUCAUUAAGACCUUCUUUCAUCAGGAGCACACACACAUUUGUAUAAUUGUAACAGUACUUGAGAUCCCACUGACAUGUUUUCCCUCACAGUUUUAAUGUCAUCGAAAAAACGUGUUCAUUUGUGCCCUGGAAAUGACUGGCCAUCAAUCUAGGGUGUAUAAGUACUCUUGCCCAAAAGUCACUUCUUAGUACGACAUAAAAAAAAAAAUUGGACGGCAUAUAUUUUCCAUUAUAGAAAAAAAUAAAUAAAUUCACUGCAUACCACCAAACAACAUCCCAAAAAGUGGCUACACAGGUUAAUUAUGUGCCACCAAGUGGAAAACUAAUUGUUUUGACAGUCACUGGCUUAGAUACAUCAGUUGUGGUUUGCGAUCAUCAUAAUCAUCUGCGACUGAGGCGGCUCGAGAAAAGAAGAAGCCUCUGAUCUCCAUCCGCCGGCAUUCAAAAAAUGCAAGAAAACUAUUUGAGGGCCUUUGUAAUUCUCCACACACACGCACACACUUCCAGCAGCAUCAUGUAAGUGCCAAUGCAAAUCUGAUUCUCCACGUUCGACAGUGUGGGGGAUGAGAAGAAUCGUAGG